AAGGCAAGAUGGGGGCACUUUAUAAGCAUCUCCUUGAAUCUCUCAAAACUCUCAUAAAUAGAUUAUCCUUCUAACCGAGUAAAAGAGGUAAUAUCAUUUUUAAGUUU